rnacentral:rRNA from 1 species
GACGAACGCUGGCGGCGUGCUUAACACAUGCAAGUCGAACGGAAAGGCCCUGCUUUUGUGGGGUGCUCGAGUGGCGAACGGGUGAGUAACACGUGAGUAACCUGCCCUUGACUUUGGGAUAACUUCAGGAAACUGGGGCUAAUACCGGAUAGGAGCUCCUGCUGCAUGGUGGGGGUUGGAAAGUUUCGGCGGUUGGGGAUGGACUCGCGGCUUAUCAGCUUGUUGGUGGGGUAGUGGCUUACCAAGGCUUUGACGGGUAGCCGGCCUGAGAGGGUGACCGGCCACAUGGGGACUGGGAUACGGCCCAGACUCCUACGGGAGGAAGAGGUGGGGAAUAUUGCACAAGGGGCGGAAGCCUGAUGCAGCAACGCCGCGUGCGGAAUGACGGCCUUCGGGUUGUAAACCGCUUUCGCCUGUGACGAGCGUGAGUGACGGUAAUGGGUAAAGAAGCACCGGCUAACUACGUG